UUUUGAUAAAAGUUAUUAAAAUGUUUAUUUGCUGUAUAUGAGGUACUUUUACGUAACUAUUGAUUUUUUUUCAAAAUCAUCUACAACGUCAUAAUAGUAUUGCCAAAAUUGUUUAUCCAAUUAGAUGUUUACAGAAUGGCUGUAAAUGUACCUGUACAGCAUAUAUGUCGCUAAUUAGACAUGUAAAAUGUUACCAUAAUAUUGAUAAUGAUUUCAUUGAUAAAAAUCCUGAGCCAAAAUACAUAGUAAUCUAUUAAAUGAUAAUCGUAACGAUUUAUUGCCUAAUUUUUCAGAAUAUUCAUUGCCUAGUUUCCCAGAGAAUUCUACUUAUCAAGUUUACACUUAACCUGAAAAAACAAUAGAAUAUAUUGAUCCUUUGUUAGUUUCUUCAUUGUGAACAAGCAGCAGUGUUCCUUAUUACAUUAUACCUGAAGUAAUUGUUUCUGUUAACAGUAAUUUCAUAAUCAUUAGUUUCCUAUAUUGCAGUGCUCAAAUAGUUUUUCAAAGCUUGCCAAUCAAAUGUAAUUAUUUCACAAAAAAAGGUUUUCCUUGAAUUUUUUGAAAUUUCUUUAGACAUUGCUGAUCAUUGAUCGGUUGUUAUUUUGAGCGAUGAUAUUGGUAAUGCUGCUUUAUCAGUUUUCAAUGACAUUAGAGCAGAUUCCACUCUAUUAAUGUUUAAGAGUAAGUUUGAAAGUAGUGUUAUACAUUGCAAUGAGCCACUCAAGUUUCUUGACACAUUAUAUAAACAAGAUAAACACUUAGAAAAAAAUUCUCUUUUUGUAACUUCUGAAACAUGCAACAUGGGCCCUCCUAGAUAUGAAACUAAUGAGGGAAUUUCAAAGAUAGUUUCAUUUCAUUGAAGAGGUAUCAAGUAAUGUUACAUUGCAUGAUGGCUUUAACACUUGCAAACAAAUCAUUUUGUUACUAGCAAGAGAUUCAAUGUUCAAAAAUACUUUGUCAGAAGACUAAUAUAAUGGAGGUAUAUAUAUGUCUACUACCCUAAGUGGGGAGAAUGAAUAAAUAAGAACUUUAUAACUUAAAUAAGAAAUUUUACAACAUAAUUGUCAAUCUGCAUAAGUACUAAGCUGCUGCAACUUGACUAUGUGCCAAUCUGCAAAAGUGCGAAGUUUCUCUUUCUCAUCUUAUUUCAUUUAUUAGUUCCUUAUGUAAUAUACCCUUUUAAUCCAAAAGAAGGUUUUUUUAUAAUCUACCUAUAAAGGUUUAUAAGUAUAUACAAGUUGUUCCCUGAUUUAUUUUUAUUUUUAUUUAGAAGAUGCAACUUUUCUUGCAUUUAAGGCGCUCCCUUUUCUUAUGAUAGCACCUCCACAGAAGAGCAAGAAGAGUCCAAGAAUUUGGGUAUAUUUUAUAGAGAAAUGGAUGUACACCUCAGUCUUGAAAGCUCCCUUGAGUUAUUGAAGAGGGAGAAAGUUUUUCUACUGAUUUUAUUCAAGUGUUGCAGCACUCUAUUUAUAAUUCAAAUUAUAACUCUAAUUAUAAGUCGAUAAUACAGCUAUACGGUUGAAAGCCAUACCGAGUAUUAGAUUUGCUUUUGAGUUGCAGCUAGUCUCUUAUUAUGUAUUUAAUGUCAAUUUUCCUCAUGAACUUAUUUGUGUAUAUAGAUUUAUGGGAAAUUUGCUUGGAAUAAACAACAAAAGAAUUAUCGUCAAUUCCUUUUAAAGAAAGUAUUGCCAAAAGUUUAAGAUUAAAUUGAGCAAUAUGUUUGUGAAACGAAAAAGUAUUUUUAUCACUUUCUUGUUUAUUUUUGUUAUAUCGUCAGCCGAGAACCAAGAGACCGUAUGUCUUUUUUUUGUGUUUCCAAGAAAAUCAAGUUUCAAAUUUUAAUUUGCAAAGUCUUUCUUCCAGAAAAUUCGACUGAUUAUUUAAAUAUUUCCUAAAAUUUUAUUGUUGUGGUAUAUUUAUGAAACACACACUCCUGAAUAUUUAUUGAUAAUGGACAAAAAAAAAAAAACACAAAAUGUUGAUAUACGAUUCUUCUCUGACGGCGGUAUCUAUUUUUCAAGGUUUUAACUCGCUUUUGCAUAUAAAUGUUUUAAGACUUGUUUUUAAUUUAAUAUUCACUGAAUUGAGUUUGAGUUUGAACUGAGUUUAUAUACUUAAAAGAAAUACUAUAACAAUGUAUUGACUCGGAAUUAAAAUAAAAUUUAUAUUUCAGUUUUUAUUAUUUUAUUGUGAUAUCGUUCCGUUAUUUCUUGUAAUCCAAUAUAAUAUACAUGUGUAAUUUAGUAUGACUCUAAAUGACAAUGUGUAAUUUAUUAUAUGAUAUAAAUAGCAUUCUUUA
rnacentral:lncRNA from 1 species